CAUUAUUGAGAAUAUGGCGCAUUGAGAGGUAAAUAGGGGCUGUAGCUGGCCUGUAAAGGGCAUGUGCACGCUUUAAUUGACUCUCUUUGUUGCUUGUUUCAUUAUUACUCUCCACUUGUGCACAUUUGUAGUCAACUUUGACUUGUGUCGGGGUUGUCUAUGAUUUUUGUCUUUAUACGCUAUUAAUUGAUGUAAAUGAAUGUGAUGAUAAUAAUUAAUACAACUUUCAACAACGGAUCUCUUGGCUCUCGCAUCGAUGAAGAACGCAGCGAAAUGCGAUAAGUAAUGUGAAUUGCAGAAUUCAGUGAAUCAUCGAAUAUUUGAACGCACCUUGCGCUCCUUGGUAAUCCUUGGAGCAUGCCUGUUUGAGUGUCAUUAAAGUGUUAUUGAAACAAGCUUGUUAAGUCUGUUUCGGAUUGUGGGAGGUCUGCCGGCUUCUUGAAGCCAGCUCUCCUGAAAUUGAAUAGUAUUGGAGAGGUGCUUGUCACUUCCACCUUGCGAAUGGUGUGAUAGAUGAUCAUUCAAUUAUCUACGCCAUGAAAGGAGGGAUUGUAAAGUGCUCAUCUCUUUGCUCGCUCAUUGAGUCGAGAAUAAUUGACAACUUGACCUCAGAUCAGGUAGGACUACCCGCUGAACUUAAGCAUAUCAAUAAGCGGANGAAAAGAAACUAACAAGGAUUCCCUUAGUAACUGCGAGUGAAGAGGGAUGAGCUCAAAUUUGUAAUCUGACAGUCUUUGACUGUCC
rnacentral:rRNA from 1 species